rnacentral:rRNA from 1 species
CUGCUGCCUUCCGUAGGAGUCUGGGCCGUAUCUCAGUCCCAAUGUGGCCGGUCAACCUCUCAGUCCGGCUACUGAUCGUCGCCUAGGUGGGCCGUUACCCCGCCUACCAGCUAAUCAGACGCGAGGCCAUCUUCCAGCGAUAAAUCCUUGACAUGUCCGUGAUGCCACGGUCAUGUGUCAUGCGGUAUUAGCAGUCGUUUCCAACUGUUGUCCCCCUCUGGAAGGCAGGUUCCUCACGCGUUA